rnacentral:piRNA from 1 species
UGAUGGAGUGCUUACUUCGUGUGUUCC